CAACCCUGCUUUGGCAGGGGAGUGGGACUAGAUGAUCUCUAGAAGGUCGCUUCCAACUCUGACAAUUCUGUGAUUCUAUUCUCUAGGUUCCUGGCCUUGCUGCUUUGCCUCCCUUGGCUUGUGUGGUCCUGAGUAGCUGCAGAAGCUGGGCCAAAAGGGCUGGCCAAGCCACCCAGCCAGAUCUUCAUAAUAACUGCAUGAGACAGUGUUGUCCUGGACCAGAGGGGAACAGAGUCAAGGAAAGGCUUGAUGAUGGGCAAAACCAGAGUGAUUUCAGACAGAAAAGUGAGGGAUGGCAGCCUAACGUGGACCAUGGAUGGCUGGAGGCUGACGUGCACUGGAGGAACUGAGCCAUUCUGCUGGAAAUGGGGGAUCUGUGACCAACACAGCCAUGCACCUCCAGAGGGAAAUGAGGCAAGUCUUUCACUUGUCCCUCCAGUAACUAUUAGAAUGCUUUAUGCCUUUUUUUCCCCUAAUUCUGUCUUUUUUUUUUUCCUAAAUCUGUUCC
rnacentral:lncRNA from 1 species